rnacentral:misc_RNA from 1 species
UUCGCCUUGUUUGCGUUUGAAUUUGACAAAAUGCGUGGCUGGCAUUUGGCUGAUAACGUGGCUAGAUGGCUAGCACUGCCCUUAAAGCCCGCUCAACAAAUGGCCAGAAAACGUUUGAAAAGCGUGGCUCCAGAAAAAACCUCAAGAUGCUGGCGGAAAAGAAAAAAUUGUUCUUGACCUAGAAACAAAAGCAGGCACAGAACGAUGACGACACCAGGCCGGGGAAAAUGAGGAGAAAACCCCAGCGACGACGUCACCAAAAAGACCAAGACACGAGGAAAGGAAAGCGAACCAAACAAAAAUUAAAAUUAAAACAAGGACACAAAAAAAAAGCGUCAUCGUCCUUGGCUAACAGAGAGUGUGGGAGAGGGAGAGGGCAAUAGCAACAGCCGCCAGCUGUGGGCCAGGCCAAAAAGAAAAGCGGGAAAAAGCAGGCAGAACUGGGUUAAUAAGCAAAACGCAGACGACGAUGAUGAGGAAAAACGAUGAUGAUGAGCAUGGCAACGAAGUGCAUAAUCAACAAGAGAGCAAAAUUGUGGGUGCGAACUUUACUCAUUUUCAUUUAGGUUCCCGAGGAGCACAAACUUUUCUCGUUCCCAGCAUGCCACUGUAUGAGUAUAUGUGUGUGUGGGUGUGUGUGUGUGGGUGAGUAUCUGUGUGUGCAAGGACGACUCCUUGCUGUUUUUAAUUUCAUUGCAAAAGGAAAUGAACGAAGGCAGGCAAAAUGGAGAGCCGGGCAAGAGAGAAAACCUCAAGGAGCGCGAAAAUGAAGCCAAAGACACUGCCAUCCACAGUCUGGGCGCCAAGUUUUCCCGGCUUUCACCGCCAUUCACCCCCUAUCCCCAUCCCCUCGCUGUUUUUCCCACCCCCUCGCUACACCCCCGCAGGCUAAAUUAGCUGCAGCAGCCGCGCGACAUUAAAAAGUUUGCCGGGUUC